UCUUCGUCUUAACGAUACCGAAAUGAGC
rnacentral:sRNA from 1 species